rnacentral:lncRNA from 1 species
AGGUCAAAGGCAACUAGUCUAGGUUAGCUCAAAUACUUUGAUCUAAACCAAUUUAGGAAUUGGGGUUAAUACAAUAUGCUAGCAUAUCUAAUUAACCCAUAAAAUUUAUAUUAAACUCUAAUUAGAUCAGACCAAGAUCAAAUCCUAAAGUGUGUGAUCCAUUGGGUUCCAUAUUUAGCCAGCAGUGGAUCAAGACUUUCGAUGUAACCUUAAUCCGAUGAGAUUAGAUCACCUAAAGAGUCCACCCGA